rnacentral:rRNA from 1 species
UACGUAGGGUGCAAGCGUUAAUCGGAAUUACUGGGCGUAAAGCGUGCGCAGGCGGUUCGGAAAGAAAGAUGUGAAAUCCCAGGGCUUAACCUUGGAACUGCAUUUUUAACUGCCGGGCUAGGGUAUGUCAGAGGGGGGUAGAAUUCCACGUGUAGCAGUGAAAUGCGUAGAGAUGUGGAGGAAUACCGAUGGCGAAGGCAGCCCCCUGGGAUAAUACUGACGCUCAUGCACGAAAGCGUGGGGAGCAAACAGG